rnacentral:rRNA from 1 species
AUACGGGGGGUGCACGCGUUAAUCGGAAUUACUGGGCGUAAAGCGCGCGUAGGCGGUUUGCUCAGUCGGAUGUGAAAGCCCAGGGCUCAACCUUGGAACUGCAUACGAUACUGGCAAACUAGAGUGUGAGAGAGGAUAGUGGAAUUUCCGGUGUAGCGGUGAAAUGCGUAGAUAUCGGAAGGAACAUCAGUGGCGAAGGCGACUGUCUGGCUCAACACUGACGCUGAGGUGCGAAAGCGUGGGUAGCAAACAGGAUUAGAAACCCUAGUAGUCC